AUAAGUGAUGACUUCAAAUCUUCACUUUGACCUGAUUGUCUAGUGGUGAAAGACUUAGUCUGAUU